UACGUAGGUGACAAGCGUUGUCCGGAUUUACUGGGCGUAAAGAGCGCGCAGGCGGCCGUUCAAGUCGAGUGUGAAAGCCCCCGGCUCAACUGGGGAGGGUCAUUCGAUACUGAUCGACUCGAAGGCAGGAGAGGGUAGUGGAAUUCCCGGUGUAGUGGUGAAAUGCGUAGAUAUCGGGAGGAACACCAGUGGCGAAGGCGACUACCUGGCCUGUUCUUGACGCUGAGGCGCGAAAGCUAGGGGAGCAAACGGG
rnacentral:rRNA from 1 species